UACGAAGGGGGCUAGCGUUGCUCGGAAUCACUGGGCGUAAAGCGCACGUAGGCGGAUCUUUAAGUCAGGGGUGAAAUCCCGAGGCUCAACUCCAGAACUGCCUUUGAUACUGGAAAGCUUGAGUUCGGGAGAGGUGAGUGGAACUGCGAGUGUAGAGGUGAAAUUCGUAGAUAUUCGCAAGAACACCAGUGGCGAAGGCGGCUCACUGGCCCGAUACUGACGCUGAGGUGCGAAAGCGUGGGGAGCAAACAGG
rnacentral:rRNA from 1 species